GAUGAACGCUGGCGGCGUGCUUAACACAUGCAAGUCGAACGGGAAUUACUUUAUUGAAACUUCGGUCGAUUUAAUUUAAUUCUAGUGGCGGACGGGUGAGUAACGCGUGGGUAACCUGCCUUAUACAGGGGGAUAACAGUCAGAAAUGGCUGCUAAUACCGCAUAAGCGCACAGAGCUGCAUGGCUCGGUGUGAAAAACUCCGGUGGUAUAAGAUGGACCCGCGUUGGAUUAGCUUGUUGGUGGGGUAACGGCCCACCAAGGCGACGAUCCAUAGCCGGCCUGAGAGGGUGAACGGCCACAUUGGGACUGAGACACGGCCCAGACUCCUACGGGAAGCAGCAGUGGGGAAUAUUGCACAAUGGGGGAAACCCUGAUGCAGCGACGCCGCGUGAAGGAAGAAGUAUCUCGGUAUGUAAACUUCUAUCAGCAGGGAAGAUAGUGACGGUACCUGACUAAGAAGCCCCGGCUAACUACGUG
rnacentral:rRNA from 1 species